GUAAGCCUCAAGCAACAAAUGUGGAUGAAACAUGGGAGAGCUUACCUGGAAGAAAAAUGGCAGCACUGUAGAGGACAACCUGGGAUGGAGACUAUCACAAACAAGAAGAUUUGGGUUGCUCUUUCCAUGUGCCAGACAAAACCUCAGGAGUGAAGCCCACUGAGGAGGAGAAGAAGACUUUAAGGAUAUCUGAGAAGAGAAUCCCCAGGACCUUGUUGAGAAAAUGGUUUUCUGAUGCUAAGCUAUAGUGUGUUUGAUCCUGAAGUUUUAUCUCCUGUUAACCUUCUGUCAAGAAUUAAGGAGCUCCUGUGGACCCUGCCCAUCUUGUACUCCAACCUGAGUUCAAGCAAACGUGAAUACAGAAUACCAACGUUUCCUUCAGAGGCCAAUAAGAAAUAAAAAACGUUAAUACAAGGAACAGAGGAGAUGCAGAUGGAUUGGUGAAUUAGGCUGGGGACUGCAGCACCAAUGGCCUGGUCUAGGCACUUUAUCAGAGCAGCUCAGGGGUGCCAGUGAAAAUAACA